UUAAACAAACCAUAAAAAACUUACCAUGGAAGCGUAAUAUUACCCUCAGGAAAUAUUUGAUAAAAGUACUUGACCCAGCAGAGAGGGGGAGGGUGAUGGCUGGGGGACUUGGGUGGGAGGCGGCCCGGAGGCAAUACCGGGAAGAGCGGCGGCGGGACCUCCAUAUUUAGCCUUUAUCAUCUUACCAAGGUGAAAUCAAGCCACUCAUGGAACUAUUGACCAGGGAAUAUAUGAAAUGAUAGACUGCUGGCUGAAUUGUGACACAUGUUUGGCUUACGUGUUCAUGGCAGUGUGUGUGUGUUUGUGUGUGUGUAUGGGACAGUAUAACCACCGCCAACACCACCACCCCUACCGUCACCACGACUACUGGACAACUGCUGCCCCUUUCGUAGCAGGCGGUGUCUGUUAAAGGAGCAGCAAGGCAAAGAACCCCCGAGGGAGCACAGCACAACACCCAUCACCAUGCCAGCUUGGGGACUUGGGGACACAAAAAACAUUCUCUAAAUCGAUGUAAACUCUGAUUCCCUUUUGUUUGGUAUGGAUUUAAAGAACAAGUCAAAUGCAAUAUUUUGUGGUGCCUGACUUUUAAUAAUGUCAAUUGAAAACGAGAUACAGACACAGAGACGAUGAUUUUUUCAGAAAAGUUAGAUUUUUUUUUUUUUAGACAAAACAAAAACUAGAAAAACUACGCCCUGAAUAGUUGCGUAUAUGUACAAAGUUUCUAU